UUCAGCAUAUAAUGCCCUAUUAAUGCUUGUGUUGACUAUGAGCUACAAACAAAUCUUCCUCUCUUUAUUUGUUGUGUUAUUUUGAACGUUUGAGAUUGAUCAAUGCUGCUGGGUCCAUGAAUUCUGCUCCAAGUUGUACCAAAGGGAUGUGGUUUUUGCAAAAAGAUUUCAGACAGAGGUGUCCUUGACACCGGUGAACGUUUCAGCAAUUCCAGAAUCUAUUACGAAAAAAAAAUAAUAAGUCUACUAUCACAUACAAUCAGUCAAAGUCACAUACUGCUCACAUACACACAUGUAUAUGUUGUGCAGAGCUAGUCACGUGGCCUAUCAAAAUAAGCACAUGAACACUAGCAGUAGCUUUUGAAAUUUAACACUUAAUUUGAAGAUAAGUCUUUGUGAAAUUUCAAAAGCUGCACUUUCAUAGAAGCACAUGAACACUAGAUUCUAUUGGUUGGUACUACUACUAGUGAAAUCCUUAAUCCUUGUGAAAAAUCAUGCUGGGAACAAACUGUUUAGUUCCCUCCUCUUGCCCACACAACCACAUCCUCCCUGCUACAAAUUUAAUGAAAUCAUCUUCUAAUAGAAUAAGAAAACUUGUUCAAGCUCCUUAUCUAGAAGAUUAAUUUUCUACUUAAGUGUGAAAGCAAAUCUACUCAAGUAUAUUGCUUAUACCUGAUGUCAGUGCUAAGCAACAAGUAUAUUGACCACUACGUACCAAAUCCAUGACAACUGCAUGAGUCAUGACCUUCUAAUUAAGCUCAAAUUUCCAUUUCAUGUUUAAAUGGCUGAGGAAAAAGUAGAUCAUGGCACUACAAUCACACCAUAACCCCGUGCCACACUUUGUUACACAGAAUUAGAUGGAGUAUCCGGUUGGACACUGUACUUUGAAGAGUCCAACAUAAGUACUCCUCAAUUUUAUCAAUUUAUACACUAAAAUAAAAUGUCCAGUACGAGUGUCAAGUGUUGGAUACCGAUUCUUUAGGACAAAAUGAAGAAUUCGUUUAACAAAUGGAGUGUCCGAUUGGACACUGUACUUACUUUGAAGAGAGAGUCCGACACAAGUACUCGUCAAUUUUGUCUUUUUAUACACUAAAAUGAAAUGUCCAGUUCUCAUGCUCUCAUGCCCAGAUGCCCUUAUCGAUCCAAGUGUGAGUGUCAAGUGUUGGAUACCGGUAUUUUUAUCCUAAAAAUGAAGAAUUUGUGUAACAAUAAAUAGAAUGAAAACUGGAAACAUAACUAUAGAUAUAAUAAUUUUUAUUUACAGCUUCCCAAUAAAUUUUUAAAAAAAAAGAAGAAGAAGAAGGGAAGAGUUACUGAGGUAC
rnacentral:lncRNA from 1 species